UACGGAGGGGGCUAGCGUUGUUCGGAAUUACUGGGCGUAAAGCGCACGUAGGCGGCUUUGUAAGUUAGAGGUGAAAGCCCGGGGCUCAACUCCGGAAUUGCCUUUAAGACUGCAUCGCUAGAAUUGUGGAGAGGUAAGUGGAAUUCCGAGUGUAGAGGUGAAAUUCGUAGAUAUUCGGAAGAAACACCAGUGGCGAAGGCGACUUACUGGACACAU
rnacentral:rRNA from 1 species